rnacentral:lncRNA from 1 species
CUGGGGGACGCGUGAGCGCGAGCCGCUUCCUCACGGCUCGGCCGCGGCGCGUAGCCCCCGCCACAUCGGGCCUGGCUCUCCUCAGCCGCCGGCUCGGCUCGGUGCGCGCGGGGGUCUUGAGCUCACCGCCGGCGGGGCGGGGUUACAUGGCGCGCGAGGAGGGGGGAGAGAAGAGGAGAGCCUAGGUGCCCUCCUCUCCCCUCCCCCCCGGCGGCGGCGCGCGCACGGCCCUCGCCGGCCUCACCCCUCCGCACCCCGCCCGCCUGCUCUUCACCGGCCAGGCCCUGCCGGGUCGCCGCGGCCUCGGCGCCCCACCCCCUCCCGGGCCAGCGGGGGGCUGGGAGGGGGCGAGGAGGAAGGGGGUUCUCCUCUCCCCUCCCCGGAGGGGGCCGCAGCGGCGGCUCCGGCUCCUCCUCUCCCUCACACCCCCUCCCGCCCCCCUCUACCUGCGGGGGACACGGGCAGAAGGAGGCGGUGCACGGACGGGGCCCGGCGACAACUGUCAGUUAGAAGCCCCGCUGGGCGGUGAGGGGGGAGAAAGGGGAGGGGCAGGGAGAGAAGGGGGAGGGCACUCAGCCCCCCGGCUGGGAAGAGCUGUGGAGAGAAGCAAAGAAAGAGGCCCUGUCGCCAUCCCCGG